rnacentral:rRNA from 1 species
GACGAACGCUGGCGGCGUGCCUAACACAUGCAAGUUGAGCGACGAACCAGGGCUUGCCCUGGGGCAAAGCAGCGAACGGGUGAGUAACACGUGGGUAACGUGCCCCGAUAACCGGGACAACCCGAGGAAACUCGGGCUAAUACCGGAUGUGCCCACCAGACACCAGUCUGGUGUGUAAAGGAAGCUUCGGCCUCCGUAUCGGGAGCGGCCCGCGGCCCAUUAGUUAGUUGGUGAGGUAACGGCUCACCAAGACCGCGAUGGGUAGCUGGUCUGAGAGGACGAUCAGCCACACUGGGACUGAGACACGGCCCAGACUCCUACGGGAGGCAGCAGUGGGGAAUCUUGCGCAAUGCGCGAAAGCGUGACGCAGCAACGCCGCGU